rnacentral:rRNA from 1 species
UUUGCAUAAUCAAAUAAGCGGAGGAAAAGAAACCAACAGGGAUUGCCUUAGUAGCGGCGAGUGAAGCGGCAAAAGCUCAAAUUUGAAAUCUGCCCGUUUUCAACAGGCUGAGUUGUAAUUUGUAGAUGGUAACUCUGUAACAAGUCUUUGCUCAAGUUUUCUGGAAAGAAACAUCAUGGAGGGUGAUAAUCCCGUGAGGCAUUGAUGCAGUUGCGUGUAGAGUGCUAUCAAAGAGUCGAGUUGUUUGGGAAUGCAGCUCAAAGUGGGUGGUAGACACCAUCUAAAGCUAAAUAUUGGCGAGAGACCGAUAGCGAACAAGUACUGUGAAGGAAAGAUGAAAAGCACUUUGAAAAGAGAGUGAAAAAGUACGUGAAAUUAUUGAUACAGAAGGAUAUAAAAUUGGACUUUGGGGAAUGGUUUGUGGGUCCCUCGGGGCCUUCUUUCACCACCCCCUUUACCAGCAUCAGUUUCGAUGGGAGGACAAACAACAUGGAAUGUAGCUGCUUGCAGUGUUAUAGACUUGUUGCAUACUCUCUAUCGGGACUGAGGACCGCCUUUGUAGGAUGCUGGGGUAACGAUUUUAUAUCACCCGUCUUGAAC